rnacentral:rRNA from 1 species
CCUACGGGUGGCAGCAGUGGGGAAUAUUGGACAAUGGGCGAAAGCCUGAUCCAGCCAUGCCGCGUGUGUGAAGAAGGCCUUCGGGUUGUAAAGCACUUUCAGUGGGGAAGAAAGCCUUGGGGCUAAUACCCUCGAGGAAGGACAUCACCCACAGAAGAAGCACCGGCUAACUCCGUGCCAGCAGCCGCGGUAAUACGGAGGGUGCGAGCGUUAAUCGGAAUUACUGGGCGUAAAGCGCGCGUAGGCGGUCUGAUAAGCCGGUUGUGAAAGCCCCGGGCUCAACCUGGGAACGGCAUCCGGAACUGUCAGGCUAGAGUGCAGGAGAGGAAGGUAGAAUUCCCGGUGUAGCGGUGAAAUGCGUAGAGAUCGGGAGGAAUACCAGUAGCGAAGGCGGCCUUCUGGACUGACACUGACGCUGAGGUGCGAAAGCGUGGGUAGCAAACAGGAUUAGAUACCCCAGUAGUC